rnacentral:misc_RNA from 1 species
AUUUUGCCAAAAACAAGAGGAAUAAAAAACAGGGCCACCUCCAAGUUCCAAGCAAUGGCCCAAGCACUGGAAAUGCCGAAGGUAUCUUUAACUUACUCUUCCGGCCAACGGGAAAUGCCAGUAUUAGGCAUGGGCACAGCCGCCGAUCCCUUCGAUGAAGCCGCAACGAAAACGGCGAUCCUGGGGGCGAUCAACCUGGGUUACAGGCACUUCGACACUGCUCUACCAUACAGGUCAGAGAAACCACUAGGAGAAGCCAUAUCUGAAGCGCUUGCACGCGGUCUCAUCGGUUCUCGAGAGGAGCUGUUUAUCACUUCGAAGUUGUGGAUCGCCGAUAAUCAUGGAAAUCUUGUAAUUACUGCUCUCAAGAAUUCCCUCAGGUAAGAAAUCCAAAAAUAUUUCCAUAUCAGCACCAUGUAAUUGCUUUUGAUCCUUAUUGAUUAGUAAUCUCUUAAUUUGACUCUUUGUUCACUUCAAUAGCGAACAGGGUUCGAAUUGAACUAGUAUUCCAGUAGUAGGUACAAGGCCAUUCAUGGUUGAAAUCUUUGUUUCCCCUUUCCUUAUUUUCUCACAGAAAAAUGAAAUCUUUCAUUACACUUGAAAUUAUUCCCAGAAAAAUGACUACUUGAUGUUUACAUACUCCAUGUUUAACUGAAUUUGGUGGCUAAACAAGUGGGGCCUGAUAUAUCUUGUGAGGAACCCAUUCAGAACAGAACUGAUUUAUUUUAAUGAAAAAUCAAACCCAAAAUAGAAGGUUUUAUUAUUUCAUUGAGGUUUUCCAAAUUCAACAUCAUUUGAUGCUAACCGCUUUAGAUGACUAUUUUUUUACUAAUUGUGCA